UCUCCGAAGCCGGCGACCGCCCCACCUCCUCCCUCCCUCCCGCCCGCUUCCUCUGCCCACAGCGCCGGCCAGAGCGAGCUAGACAAGGGCACGCGGGGCCUCGCCUAGACCCGAGAAGACUGCGGGCGCGCGCAAGCGGCGGCGUGGAAGCUGUGAGCGCCCCCAUCCCGGAGGUCUCCGCCGGCUCCCGGUUUUUUUUGGCCUGGAAACCAGCAGGGUGCCUCCAUUUGCUCUCUCAUCCUCUGGUUCUUACUUGAGUGUGGAAGUCGCUCCACUGGUGGACCUUGCAGUGGCACUGAGCUGGGUCACUUCAGCCGUGAAAGGCCAACUGUACUACUGUCAAGGCUUGGGACAGUUAAGCGUCCGUGAAGGUACUGGAUACAGCGACAGCAGGAAGUGCAGCAGUGAGAACUGAAACUAAUUU
rnacentral:lncRNA from 10 species